GCUUAACACAUCUCUUAUAAUUCCUUUGCUACUCCUAUUAAAAAUGUAUAUAUGUUUGCAAAUCAUUUUUAGCUCCAUGGUGAGAGGGCGGUUCUAUUUCCCAUGAAGAAAAGGACUGCUUAGUGUUUCUUAUUGACAUAUAAGAAGAUGCCUUCAAACCAUUUAGGAGGGACUGGUGGAGAGACUAGCAGUUAUUUUCUUCAAUGCUGACAACAUCCCAGUGGAGAGGUAUAUUUUCAAGCUCAUGAUUAACCUAUCAUAUGGCUUAGAAGUGGAAGAAGGCAAACUGGAGUUCUUAAUCAAAUUUUCAGUCUCACAAUCCCUUUCUAAGGUUCUUCCACAUGGCUGCAGGUGGGAGAUAACAGCCUACUUCCCCUUCCCUUCCCUUCCUCUGGACGGUACAAGCAAGUAUGCAGAAUUAUGGAACCCUACAAAUACACAGCAAUGGCAGCAACCUCCAGUAAUUACCCCUAUCAAGUCAAUGAACAUUGGUUUGUUUUUAUUUAUAUUCUUGCAUCAAAUAAUUUGCAUGAAUUAUAUGCUGCAACAUAAGAUUGUUUCAGUUGUCAUGAACAUGAGAUCAAAGCAAGGCAUCCCUGAAUACAGCCAUACAUGCCCAACUUUGCUUUGCAGGCUUUUGCAGUCCAUUACUCUUGUAAAGUUUAUUUUAUCAUUUGAUAAUUUCAAAUAUUGAUCUUAGAUAAUAAUAACAUAUUUACAGAUCUUUAUG